CCUACGGGAGGCAGCAGUGGGGAAUAUUGCACAAUGGGGGAAACCCUGAUGCAGCGACGCCGCGUGAGUGAAGAAGUAUUUCGGUACGUAAAGCUCUAUCAGCAGGGAAGAAAAUGACGGUACCUGACUAAGAAGCCCCGGCUAACUACGUGCCAGCAGCCGCGGUAAUACGUAGGGGGCAAGCGUUAUCCGGAUUUACUGGGUGUAAAGGGAGCGUAGACGGCAGCGCAAGUCUGGAGUGAAAUCCCAUGGCUUAACCAUGGAACUGCUUUGGAAACUGUGCAGCUAGAGUGCAGGAGAGGUAAGCGGAAUUCCUAGUGUAGCGGUGAAAUGCGUAGAUAUUAGGAGGAACACCAGUGGCGAAGGCGGCUUACUGGACUGUAACUGACGUUGAGGCUCGAAAGCGUGGGGAGCAAACAGGAUUAGAUACCCCAGUAUUC
rnacentral:rRNA from 1 species